GGUUGGAAUUUGAAUAUUGUAUGACGUGUGGCCUUUAAAAAGUCCUGAAAGGAGGCUUGCAAGAUCCUUUCAGCUCGAACUGUGAAACAUCAGCUAUGACAAAACUCUUACUGGAUGAUGAUUAUUGCAUUUCAUCACUGUCAGUAUCGCUUAAAGCUAGAUAUACUAUCAAAAGUACAUGAAGAACAAAUAAAGAAAUUCAAGGCUCCUGACUGGUGACAAAAAUACUACUGCUUCUCAGGCUUAUCUGGUUCUUCUUCCUUCUCAGGAUCUUCCUCCUCUUCUUCUUUCUUUUUCUCUUCUUCUUCUUCUUC
rnacentral:misc_RNA from 1 species